rnacentral:rRNA from 1 species
UACGUAGGGUGCGAGCGUUAAUCGGAAUUACUGGGCGUAAAGCGUGCGCAGGCGGCGGCUCAAGUCAGGUGUGAAAUCCCCCGGGCUUAACCUGGGAAUUGCGCUUGAAACUAGGUCGCUAGAGUGUGGCAGAGGGGGGUGGAAUUCCACGGUGUAGCAGUGAAAUGCGUAGAGAUGUGGAGGAACACCGAUGGCGAAGGCAGCCCCCUGGGUCAACACUGACGCCUCAUGCACGAAAGCGUGGGAGCAAACAGG